rnacentral:rRNA from 1 species
CCUACGGGAGGCUGCAGUGGGGAAUAUUGGGCAAUGGGCGCAAGCCUGACCCAGCAACGCCGCGUGAAGGAAGAAGGCUUUCGGGUUGUAAACUUCUUUUGUCAGGGACGAAGCAAGUGACGGUACCUGACGAAUAAGCCACGGCUAACUACGUGCCAGCAGCCGCUGUAAUAAGUAGGUGGCAAGCGUCAGCCGGAUUUAUUGGGUGUAAAGGGUGCGCAGGCGGGCCUUUAAGCCGGCGGUGAAAUCGCGGGGCUCAACCCCGCCGCGCCGGCGGAACUGGGGGCCUUGAGUGCGGGGGAGGCAUGCGGAAUGCGCGGUGUAGCGGUGAAAUGCAUAGAUAUCGCGCAGAACCCCGAUUGCGAAGGCAGCGUGCCGUGCCGCCACUGACGCUGAGGCACGAAAGCGCGGGGAUCGAACAGGAUUAGAUACCCGAGUAGUC